rnacentral:rRNA from 1 species
AUUGAACGCUGGCGGCAUGCCUUACACAUGCAAGUCGAACGGCAGCACGGGUGCUUGCACCUGGUGGCGAGUGGCGAACGGGUGAGUAAUACAUCGGAACAUGUCCUGUAGUGGGGGAUAGCCCGGCGAAAGCCGGAUUAAUACCGCAUACGAUCUACGGAUGAAAGCGGGGGCCCUUCGGGCCUCGCGCUAUAGGGUUGGCCGAUGGCUGAUUAGCUAGUUGGUGGGGUAAAGGCCUACCAAGGCGACGAUCAGUAGCUGGUCUGAGAGGACGACCAGCCACACUGGGACUGAGACACGGCCCAGACUCCUACGGGAGGCAGCAGUGGGGAAUUUUGGACAAUGGGGGAAAGCCUGAUCCAGCAAUGCCGCGUGUGUGAAGAAGGCCUUCGGGUUGUAAAGCACUUUUGUCCGGAAAGAAAUCCUUGGCCCUAAUACGGUCGGGGGAUGACGGUACCGGAAGAAUAAGCACCGGCUAACUACGUG